GACGAACGCUGGCGGCGUGCCUAAUACAUGCAAGUCGAGCGGAAGUUGGAGAGCUUGCUCUUCAACUUUAGCGGCGGACGGGUGAGUAACACGUGGGCAACCUGCCCUGCAGAUCGGGAUAACUCCGGGAAACCGGUGCUAAUACCGAAUAGUUUUCGCCACAUCCUGGUGGCGUACGGAAAGACGGUUUCGGCUGUCACUGCAGGAUGGGCCCGCGGCGCAUUAGCUAGUUGGUGGGGUAACGGCCCACCAAGGCGACGAUGCGUAGCCGACCUGAGAGGGUGAUCGGCCACACUGGGACUGAGACACGGCCCAGACUCCUACGGGAGGCAGCAGUAGGGAAUCUUCCGCAAUGGACGAAAGUCUGACGGAGCAACGCCGCGUGAGUGACGAAGGUUUUCGGAUCGUAAAACUCUGUUGUGAGGGAAGAACAAGUACCAAUUAACUACUGGUACCUUGACGGUACCUCACCAGAAAGCCACGGCUAACUACGUGCCAGCAGCCGCCGUAAAAC
rnacentral:rRNA from 1 species